UAAACAGACUUAAUGGAUCUAACUUACAACUAUACAAUUACCACCUUUCAAUUAGUGUUCCGUUGGAGAUUGAUAGCCUCCUCGUCGAAAAUCUCUUUUCAAAACAACCGGAGAAAAAUCGAUGCAGAACUGGCUUCCACCGACCGUGCAACGUUGCACGCUCCAAUUCUGCAUUACGAAAAGAAGAGAGAGAGA